GACGAACGCUGGCGGCGUGCUUAACACAUGCAAGUCGAACGAAGUGGCGAACGGGUGAGUAACGCGUAAUCAACCUGCCCAUCAGAGGGGGAUAACAGGUGGAAAAGAAUGCUAAUACCGCAAACUGAAGGCGGGGAUUGCGUGUGAAUAGAUAGUGGGAGGGGGAACGGCCCACCAAGGCGAUGAGCAGUAGCCGGGCUGAGAGGAUGAACGGCCACAUGUGUACUGGGACACGGCCCAGACUCCUACGGGAGGCAGCAGUGGGGAAUCAUCGGAAAUGGACGAAAGGCUGACGGAGCAACGCCGCGUGAGUGAUGACGGCCUUCGGGUUGUAAAGCUCUGUUAAUCGGGACGCGGUACCGGAAUAGAAAGCCACGGCUAACUGCGUGCCAGCAGCCGCGGUAAUAC
rnacentral:rRNA from 1 species